GACGUAGGGCGCGAGCGUUGUCCGGAUUUAUUGGGCGUAAAGAGCUCGUAGGCGGCUUGUUGCGUCAGCUGUGAAAACCCGCAGCUCAACUGUGGGCUUGCAGCUGAUACGGGCAGGCUUGAGUUCGGUAGGGGAGACUGGAAUUCCUGGUGUAGCGGUGAAAUGCGCAGAUAUCAGGAGGAACACCUAUAGCGAAGGCAGCUUGCUGGGACGUUACUGACGGCUAAGGCGCGAAAGCGUGGGGAGCGAACAGG
rnacentral:rRNA from 1 species